CCUGAUCGGACAGAAUUUAAUUCUUCUCGGAACAGCGUUAGUUUCAUUCCUUAAUGAUUAUUAAAAACAGAGAGAUCAUUUUUUAAUGAACAGACGAUUUUUCAGGCAGUCCACCUCGCGCCGAAAAUCGACGGUGGCGCGUUCCACCGCUGGGGUCAUUACUGGCGUUGACAUCGGGUCACCUGGCUCCCCCGGUUCUCAGCCACUACUAUCGUUUCUUUUCUAUCGUUUUGGCAUGUGCACCUGCAUUAGAUUCUGAAGUAGGAUAAAAUUAAACAUAUUACACAGCAUGGCAAGUCGGCCUUGUUUUUCUCUCUUUUUACAAGAAAUAUUGUGUGGCUAAUGAGGGGGUCGCUGUGUCAAAUCCAACACAUGGCUAAUUGUAUGUUGGAGCAUGAAGAAACCAAAAAUAUUCUGAAUGUGGUCGGCUGAGGAUUCAUUAUUCCCGUACAAUCAUUAUUCACGACUGGCAGUAUCGACCUGUGGUUGCCGUGGGUCCCAUCAGCUAAAUUAUCCUAAUGAGUUAAUCAAAAAGUGUAAGAGUGGAGAAGCUAUGAGGUUGAUACCUUUGAGAAUGUAGAUCGACCAAAUUUGAGAUUUCCUCUGCAUACAGAUACCUCUCUCAGCAUAAGUCUCAUGGUAUAUCCAGUGGUGUGGAUAUUGACACCUAGCAGCAGCACUGAAAUAUUAUUUUUGUCACUGCUGCUACGUUUAGCCCGUGUCAAAAAGUGCCUUUUUUGUUACUAGUAAACAAAAAAUGGCACGGAGGGGCUCCGUUCGUAUUUGUUCAACUGUACAAAUGAUCAACUGUACAGAGAAUUUUCAAACGGUGAGAGCACCACUGUGCAGGGAUUCAACUGUCGAGACAAAAAGCUAAGCUUUAUAUGUAGCGCUGGGUCCACAUGUACAGCCACAUUUUUGUCUCGACAGUUGAAUCCCUGCACAGUGGUGCUCUCACCGUUUGAAAAUUCUCUGUACAGUUGAUCAUUGGUACAGUUGAGAAAGUACAAACGGAGCCCCCCCGUGUAACAGUAGCAUCACCGCUAUAAUUUCCCCAACAUUCCACUAGUGAAGCUCACGUUCCGCGGGAAUAAUUCAAAUCAUCGUUUUAAUGUCGCGCAUCUUCUAAAGAAAUAAUUAAUGUAAAUAAUAUAUAUAUAUAAUAUCAUAAAAAUUAGAAAGAACGUGGAACAGAGUUGGGGAUUUCCCCAGUAUAUAGACACUAUAAUGGCCCCGAACUAGCAGAUGACAAAUAGUUAUGGUUUAAUUGCUUCAAGAAUAAAUUCAAUAUUUCUUUUAUUCUUCCCAGCACUCUGAAAUCCCGUCAUAUAAUUUCCACUUUCCCUUCAUACGUUCAUCCCGCCGUAAAAGAACCACCCCGAGUGAAACCCUACCAAUAAAACCAUUUCCAAGCUUUUCUUAAUGAGUUCCCCGAUGCCAUGAAAACCCCAGUCCCGGCCAGCCAUCCUCCCCUCAUCGAGUCGCCUAGUUCCUCCAUCUCCCACGCUAGCUCCUUCCCUCUCCCUAACUGUCUCAUCGGGGCCUACUCCACAGGGACACCCUCAAGGAAUAAGUGCGACCCAAGGGCAAGGUCCGGCCUCUCAAGAUAAACUAUUAUCACGAUUGGCUCCCUACUACGUUUAAGGGUUGUAACUUUAAUUUUAAGAUAGCGUAGGAGUAACAACUUAAGAUUUUUAGCGAAAUUCGUGAAUUCAGUUUCCCCCAGAGUUUGAGAAGGAAACACGUUUCUAAAUAAAACGGUGUUCUAAAUAAAAUUGAAAGUUUAUUAAAAUUAUUCGAGGGGAGUAUUCCUAAAAUUAAACCUUCCCGCUUCCAGCGAGCAGAGUGCCUUAGCACUCCACGGGGAACUUACCCGCCCUCUUCAUUAAAUUACUAGCCGGAGAAACCACAUAUAACAAACAACAACAACAACACAUUGUUAAAACUUUAUAAUUCUACAGGAUGUGUUAUUUAGGAAGAGAGAAUGCAGUUGUAAUGUUUUUGUCAUUUUAAUGCCUUAUACACACAAAUGAAUGUGAAUGACGAAAUAACAAAAUGUUAUCCGCCUG